UACGUAGGUGGCAAGCGUUGUCCGGAUUUACUGGGCGUAAAGAGCGCGCAGGCGGUCGUUCAAGUCGCGUGUGAAAGCCCCCGGCUCAACUGGGGAGGGUCAUUCGAUACUGAUCGACUCGAAGGCAGGAGAGGGUAGUGGAAUUCCUGGUGUAGCGGUGAAAUGCGCAGAUAUCAGGAAGAACACCAAUGGCGAAAGCAGCUCUCUGGGACGGUACUGACGCUGAGACGCGAAAGCGUGGGGAGCGAACAGG
rnacentral:rRNA from 1 species